UAUACUGAGGCAUCCUGUAUUGUGAUUGGAAUGAUGGGAAUUUAAACCUCUUCCAGAGUAUCAAUUGGAGGGCAAGUCUGGUGCCAGCAGCCGCGGUAAUUCCAGCUCCAAUAGCGUAUAUUAAAAUUGUUGCAGUUAAAAAGCUCGUAGUUGAAAUUCGCUGCAGUUCCAUUCCCUUUCUGAUUUUGAUUUUGCAGCUUAUUUCCGUUGGAUUUUUUCUUUCUUUAUUAUUAGGUUGAUUUAAUGAAAGUUCUCGGAGCAAGCUUUGGCCUUUUAUACAUUAGCUUGGAAAGAUAAAAUAAGACUUGAGUUCCUUUUGUUUUUUUUAGGUGCCGUACCCCCUUCUCAUGUAACAAGAGAAGGAAGGAUUGGGUAAUGACUGUGUUGCUUGUACCUACCUGCGUGAGU
rnacentral:rRNA from 1 species